AACCGUAUAGGGGAGCCGGAGGGAAACCGAGUCUUAACCGGGCGUUAAGUUGCAGGGUAUAGACCCGAAACCCGGUGAUCUAGCCAUGGGCAGGUUGAAGGUUGGGUAACACUAACUGGAGGACCGAACCGACUAAUGUUGAAAAAUUAGCGGAUGACCUGUGGCUGGGGGUGAAAGGCCAAUCAAACCGGGAGAUAGCUGGUUCUCCCCGAAAGCUAUUUAGGUAGCGCCUCGUGAAUUCAUCUCCGGGGGUAGAGCACUGUUUCGGCUAGGGGGCCAUCCCGGCUUACCAACCCGAUGCAAACUGCGAAUACCGGAGAAUGUUAUCACGGGAGACACACGGCGGGUGCUAACGUCCGUCGUGAAGAGGGAAACAACCCAGACCGCCAGCUAAGGUCCCAAAGUCAUGGUUAAGUGGGAAACGAUGUGGGAAGGCCCAGACAGCCAGGAUGUUGGCUUAGAAGCAGCCAUCAUUUAAAGAAAGCGUAAUAGCUCACUGGUCGAGUCGGCCUGCGCGGAAGAUGUAACGGGGCUAAACCAUGCACCGAAGCUGCGGCAGCGAACGUAUCACCCAAGACAACUUUACGGAGUUGACGAUUGACGGAGCGAAGCGACGUCAAAGCGUUCAUUAAAGUCGAGUUGGCUUAGGGAUACGUUCGUUGGGUAGGGGAGCGUUCUGUAAGCCUGUGAAGGUGUGUCGUGAGGCAUGCUGGAGGUAUCAGAAGUGCGAAUGCUGACAUAAGUAACGAUAAAGCGGGUGAAAAGCCCGCUCGCCGGAAGACCAAGGGUUCCUGUCCAACGUUAAUCGGGGCAGGGUGAGUCGACCCCUAAGGCGAGGCCGAAAGGCGUAGUCGAUGGGAAACGGGUUAAUAUUCCCGUACUUGGUGUUACUGCGAAGGGGGGACGGAGAAGGCUAUGUUGGCCGGGCGACGGUUGUCCCGGUUUAAGCGUGUAGGUGUGUGUUCCAGGUAAAUCCGGUUCACUUUAACACUGAGGCGUGA
rnacentral:rRNA from 1 species